GACGAACGCUGGCGGCGUGCCUAAUACAUGCAAGUAGAACGCUGAAGAGAGGAGCUUACUCUUCUUGGAUGAGUUGCGAACGGGUGAGUAACGCGUAGGUAACCUGCCUUGUAGCGGGGGAUAACUAUUGGAAACGAUAGCUAAUACCGCAUAACAAUGGAUGACACAUGUCAUUUAUUUGAAAGGGGCAAUUGCUCCACUACAAGAUGGACCUGCGUUGUAUUAGCUAGUAGGUGAGGUAAUGGCUCACCUAGGCGACGAUACAUAACCGACCUGAGAGGGUGAUCGGCCACACUGGGACUGAGACACGGCCCAGACUCCUACGGGAGGCAGCAGUAGGGAAUCUUCGGCAAUGGGGGCAACCCUGACCGAGCAACGCCGCGUGAGUGAAGAAGGUUUUCGGAUCGUAAAGCUCUGUUGUAAGUCAAGAACGGGUGUGAGAGUGGAAAGUUCACACUGUGACGGUAGCUUACCAGAAAGGGACGGCUAACUACGUG
rnacentral:rRNA from 1 species